rnacentral:rRNA from 1 species
UACGGAGGGUGCAAGCGUUGUUCGGAAUCACUGGGCGUAAAGCGCGUGUAGGCGGCCUUCUUAGUCUGGUGUGAAAGCCCGGGGCUCACCCCCGGAAGUGCAUUGGAUACUGGAAGGCUGGAGUACCGGAGAGGAGGGUGGAAUUCCUGGUGUAGCGGUGAAAUGCGUAGAUAUCAGGAGGAACACCGGUGGCGAAGGCGGCGCUCUGGACCGAGACUGACGCUGAGGCGCGAAAGCGUGGGGAGCAAACAGG